AUAAGUACCUGUCCAUCUCCCACAUGUUUACUUUAAAACUCUGAGCAUAUAGUUACUUCCCUUCCAUAAUUAAAUUUCUUUAUUCCCUUUUGUCUCCUUAUGCUGAGUUACCCAUAUUAUAUAGUUGAGGAGUUUGUCUUGCCCACAGAGUAAUCAGAAUCCACCCAGCCUUUGUAGUCUGCUUACAGUCAUUUUUCAAAGAUACCAGUCUCUGUGGGGGAAGUUAGUAUGUAGUGAGAGCAAGGCAGGUGGCUGUGAUUCACUGGCCUGUCCCUUCUCCUACCCCUCCCCCCACCUUUGUCCUUUCUCAUGCAACUCACCCACACCAGGGACCAUGGGGUGGUGAAGCUGUCUUGUUUGUCAGUCAGGUUUCUGUUCACACGGGGAAGACAUGGUCUCAUGGGGACCUAGUACUGGCACAGAGUUGGGAUAUAUUUAUGUAUAGGAGAGGGCACCCAUUAGUUAGUAUUGUAUGAGUUAGCAGCAGCCUCACCCCUGUUGAUUUAAGUAGCUAACACACCCGUCACAGGGAUUUGACUGUGUGGUGCCAGUUACCAUAUUUGCCAGCAUAUUAAAUGUACCUCUGCAUAAGACACAUCCCAUUUUAUAAGAAUUUUUUGUGAAAAAAAUUUUUCAUCAUAAAUUUAUUAGAAAAAAUUAUAGGGUGUGUGUGUGUGUGUGUGUGUGUGUGUGUGUGUGUGUGUGUGUGUGUGUGUGUGUGUGUGUGUGUGUGUGUGUGUGUGUGUGUGUGUGUGUGUGUGUGUGUGUGUGUGUGUGUGUUCAUUUUUUAUAUGAGGGCCACUGGCCAAGUUAUAAUAAUAAAAAGAAAGGCCCACUUAAUGUCAGUUCCCAUAGAGAUGUCAGAUAGAAUAAUAAUAAUAAAAAAAGGAGAAUGAGUGUCUUGAAACCUUCCUCUUGAAAGAGUUCAAGUCAUAGGAAGGAGAAAAUGCAAAAGCAGGCAGGGAGUCCCAGAGUUUACCAGAGAAAGGGAUGAAUGACUGAGAAUACUAGUUAACUCUUGCAUUAAAAGUGGUCAGAAUAAGGAUGAGAGAAAGAAGAAAGUCUUGUGCCAUGAGGCUGCAGGAGGUGAGAAAUGCAGUUGGCAAGAUCAGGAGAGCAAUUAGCUUGUAAAUACUGGUAGAAAAUAGCAAAAGAUGCAAUAUUGUGGUGAUGAGAAAGAGGCUGAAGACAGCCAGUUUUGAGGAGAGAAGAUGAUAAAAUUCCACCCUGUUUAAAUUGCGGUAUGAGUGGAGCCCCCCCACCAAACACGUGAUGCAAACUCCAGAUAAGGACAGAUAAGGCCCCAGUACAGGAUUAGCAGCUGGUUGGGGAAAUGUGAUGGAGAUGGAAAAAGUGCAAGGAGACCUACACGGAACUAUAAAAUGGGGGAAGAUAAGAUAAUGAAAAGUAAUAAAGAAAAGGAUUUGGGGGUGAUUAUCCAGGACACAUUGUCACCAGAGAAACAUGAAGAAGAAUGUGAGGAAACUGGAAAGAAUAUGGAGGACAGCAAUGAAGAUGGUGCCAGAAUUGAAGGAAAAGACUUAUGAAGAGCAAUUGGAAGAAAUGAAAUUAAUAAAACUGGAAGAGAGAAGAGAAAGGGGAGACUUGAUAACAAUGUACAAAUUAAUAAACUACAUGGAAAAGAUAGACCAACAAGUUUUGGAGAUGCAUAUAAAUGAGGGAACAAGAUGUAUAAGAGGACAUACAAAAAAGAUGAAGAGUAAAGAGUGCUGCAUCAUACCAGAUGUGAGAACAAAACACACUCUUUUAGGGAUUUUGGUGAAACUUUUGCUGUUGGUGAAACUUUUGCUAUUACCUUAGACAUAUCAAAAGGCUAUGACAGAGUGGCACAAGGCAUUGAUUUCCAAACUACCAUCCUACUGCUCUCUGUAACUUCAUCUUAAGCUUCCUUUCUAAACAUUCUAUUGCUGCUGUGGUAGAUAGUUCUUCUUCAAAGUCUAUUAGCAGUGGUGUUCCUCAGGAUUUUGUCCUGUCACCCACUCUCUUCCUCUUAUUCAUCAUUGAUCUUCUAAACCAAACUUCUUGUCCUAUCCACUCCUACACUGAUACCACCCUGCACUUUUUCACAUCUUUCUGUAGACACCCAACCCUUUAGGAUGUAAACAGCUCACAGAGAGAAGGCACAGAAUGCCUGACUUCUGAUCUCUCUAAAAUUUCUGAUUGGGGUAGAGCAAACUUACUAAUGUUCAAUGCCUCAAAAACUCAAUUCUUCCAUCUAUCAACUCAACACAAGCUUCCAAAUAUCUAUCCCCUCUUCCUCAAUGAUACUCAAACUGUCCCCCCUCUUCUACAAUAAACAUCCUUGGUCUGUCCUUCACUUAUAAUCUAAACAGGAAAUUUCACAUCUCAUCUCUAGCUAAAACAGGUUCUAUGAAGUUGGCAUUCUGUCAUCUUUGCCAGUUUUUCUCACCCUCCACCAGCUGCUAGCUCUGUACAGGGGCCUUAUCUGUCCAUGUAUGGAGUUUGCUUCAUGUGUGUUGGGGGAAGGGGAGGUUUGAUGCAUAUACUCUUUUGGCCAGAGUGGAAUAGAAAAAUUUUUUGUUUCAUCAACUCUUCUCCUCUGACUGUAUUCUGCCUCUUUCUUGUCAUCUCAGUAUUGCAUCUCUUGCUAUCUUCUACCAGUCUUUUCACGCUAACUGCUCUUCUGAUCUUGCUAACUGCAUGCCUCUCCUUGUCCUGCAGCCUCACGGCACAAAACUUUCUUCUUUCUCUCAUCCCUAUUCUGUCCACCUCUCUAAUGCAAGAGUAUUCACAAUCACUCAUCCCUUUCUCUGGUAAACUCUGGAACUCCCUGCUUGCUUCUGUAUUUCCUCCUUCCUAUGACUUGAACUCUUUCAAGAGGGAGGUUUAAAGACACUUAUCCUAUGAUUUUUUUUAUUAUUCUAUCUGACAUCUCUAUGGGAACUGGUAUGAAGUGGGCCUUUCUCUUUUAAUUAGAAAUUUUUGUUGCCCUCGGCCAGUGGCCCUCACAUAUAAACAACACACACAUACAUAUAGUAUAAUUUUUUUCAAUAAACUUAUGAUGAAACAUAAUAACAUUAACAUUUUUUCCACAAAUUUUUUUUGUAAACUAGGGGUGUGUCUUAUGUAGAGGUGUGUUUAAUAUGCUGGCAAACACAGUAUUUUCUUUGUUAUCUAUAUAGUAUUACCAUUACUUUAAUUGUAACCUUUCUUUAUAAUAUAUUUAUUAUUUGAUAAUAUGUAAACUUUUGCCAUCCAUGGUGCUGGUGGCAGUCAGUUCUGUCAGAGUGAUGUUGGCAGUGCUCGGGUAUGUGGCAUGUUCGAUUGACAGUCUUGCCACUGAAUAGAGCCAUAUGUAAAUCUUGUAAAUACACAGAAACACUAGUGACCUGGCAUUUCCACAUCCCUGCUAAUUCUUACUGAACUAAAUAUAAAAAAAAACAGAACCAGAGAGAGAAGACUACCAUUACUGAGUACAGCACUGACAACUUUGUCUGAGUCAACUUCAAUGAUUUACCAUAACAGAGUGACAAACCAUCAUUAAAUAUCCAUAAGCUCAGUGACUUCACAAGUUAUAGCUAAUACCAGCAGGAAAGCAUUCUUCAUAGACACAUCUCUUAUAAAGGUCAAACGAAGUGGUUCAUAAACGAAGUGGUUCAUGGUUUUAAUAAUGAACAGCACACUAAUGAAAGAUGCUACAUCUUUGCCAAAAUAGGCGGAUGUGACACAGCUAUCUGCCUUCAAAAGUUUUUUUUUUUUUAUGUAGGAAGGACACUGGCCAGGGACAACAAAAAUCCAAUUAAAAAAAAAUGCCCACUGAAAUGCCAGUUCCAUAAAAGGGGCAAAGCAGUAGUCAAAAAUUGAUGGAUAAGUGUCCUGAAAUCUCCUUCUUGAAGGAAUUCAAGUCAUAGGAAGGUGGAAAUACAGAAGCAAGCAGGGAGUUCCAGAGUUUACCAGAGAAAGGGAUGAACUCUUGCAUCAGAGAGGUGGACAGAAAAGGGGUGAGAGAAAGAAGAAAGUCUUGUGCAGCGAGGCCGCGGGAGGAGGGAAGGCAUGCAGUUAGCAAGAUCAGAAGAUCAGUUAGCGUGAAAAUAGCGGUAGAAGACAGCUAGAAAUGCAACAUUGGAGUGGUGAGAGAGAGGCUGAAGACGGUCAGUUAGAGGAGAGGAGUUGAUGAGAUAAAAAGCUUUUGAUUCCACCCUGUCUAGAAGAGCAGUAUGAGUGGAACCCCCCCAGACAUGUGAAGCAUACUCCAUACAUGGACGGAUAAGGCCCUUGUACAGAGUUAGCAGCUGGGGGAAUGAGACGUCUCAGAACGUCUAACUUCAAAGAAGCUGUUUUUGCUAGAGAUGAGAUGUGAAGUUUCCAGUUCAGAUUAUAAGUAAAGGACAGACCAAGGAUGUUCAGUGUAGAAGAGGGAGACAAUUGAGUGUCACUGAAGAAGAGGCGAUAGUUGUCUGGAAGGUUGUGUUGAGCUGAUAGAUGGAGGAAUUGAGUUUUUGAGGCAUUGAGCAAUACCAAGUUUGCUCUGCCCCAAUCAGAAAUUUUAGAAAGAUCAAAAGUCAAGCAUUCUGUGGCUUCCCUACGUGAAAUGUUUACCUCCUGAAGGGUUGGAUGUCUAUGAAAAGAUGUGGAAAAGUGCAGGGUGGUAUCAUCAGCGUAGGAGUGGAUAGGACAAGAAGUUUGGUUUAGAUCAUUAAUGAAUAAUAAGAAGAGAGUGGGUGACAGGACAGAACCCUGAGGAAUACCACUGUUAAUAGAUUUAGGAGAAGAACAGUGACCGUCUACCACAGCAGCAAUAGAACAGUCAGAAAGGAAACUUGAGAUGAAGUUACAGAGAGAAGGAUAGAAGCCAUAGGAGGAUAGUUUAGAAAUCAAAGCUUUGUGCCAGACUCUAUCAAAAGCUUUUGAUAUGUCCAAGGCAACAGCAAAAGUUUCACCAAAAUCUCUAAAUGAGGAUGACCAAGACUCAGUAAGGAAUGCCAGAAGUUCACCAGUAGAGCGGCCCUGACAGAACCCAUGCUGGCGAUCAGAUAGAAGGUUGUGAAGUAAUAGAUGUUUAAGAAUCUUUCUGUUGAGGAUAGAUUAAUAAACUUUAGAUAAGCAGGAAAUUAAAGCAAUAGGAUGGUAGUUUGAGGGAUUAGAACGGUCACCCUUUUUAGGAACAGGCUGAAUGUAGGCAAACUUCCAGCAAGAAGGGAAGGUAGAUGUUGACAGACAGAGUUGAAAGAGUUUGACUAGGCAAGGUGCAAGCAUGGGGGCACAGUUUCGGAGAACAAUAGGAGGGACCCCAUCAGGUCCAUAAGCCUUCUGAGGGUUUAGACCAGCAAGGGCAUGGAAAACAUCAUGGCAAAGAAUUUUAAUAGGUAGCAUGAAUUAGUCAGAGGGUGGAGGAGAGGGGGGAACAAGCCCUGAGUCGUCCAAGGUAGAGUUUAUAGCAAAGGUUUGAGCGAAGAGUUCAGCUUUAGAAAUAGAUGUGAUAGCAAUAGUGCCAUCUGGUUGAAAUAAAGGAGGGAAAGAAGAAGAAGCAAAGUUAUUGAAGAUAUUUUUGGCCAGAUGCCAGAAGUCACGAGGGGAGUUAGAUCUUGAAAGGUUUUGACACUUUCUGUUAAUGAAGGAGUUUUUGGCUAGUUUGAGAACAGACUUGGCAUGGUUCCAGGCAGAAAUAUAAAGUGCAUGAGAUUCUGAUGAUGGAAGGCUUAAGUACCUUUUGUGGGCCACCUCUCUAUCAUGUAUAGCAUGAGAACAAGCUGUGUUAAACCAAGGUUUGGAAGGUCUAGGUCGAGAAAAACAGUGAGGAAUGUACGCCUCCGUGCCAGACACUAUCACCUCUGUUAUGUUCUCAACACACAAAGACAGGUCUCUGACAUGGAAGCAGAAGUCAUUCCAAGGAAAAUCAGCAAAAUACCUCCUCAGGUUCCCCCAACUAGCAGAGGCAAAAUGCCAGAGGCACCUUCGCUUAGGGGGAUCCUGAGGAGGGAUUAGAGCGAUAGGACAAGAUACAGAUAUGAGAUUGUGAUUGGAGGAGCCCAACGGAGAAGAAAGGGUGACAGCAUAAGCAGAAGGAUUAGAGGUCAGGAAAAGGUCAAGAAUGUUGGGCGUAUCUCCAAGAUGGUCAGGAAUACGAGUAGGGUGUUGCACUAAUUGCUCUAGGUUGUGGAGGACAGCAAAGUUGAAGGCUAGUUCACCAGGAUGGUCAGUGAAGGGAGAGGAAAGCCAAAGCUGGUGGUGAACACUGAACUGAACUGGAUGUUAAUCUCUAAUACCCUACAUUAGAAUCUUGAAAGAAAAGGAAGAAUUCCACUAGUAAUUCUGUUACAGAGGAAGGGCAUGGAUCACAAUCCCUUGACACACUAUCUACAGUAGAAAGAUGACUUUGCCUGGUAGAAAGAGAAAUUAUUAUAAAAUAUGAAUUUUUUGAGCACCAGCAUCAUUCAGUGGAAGUUAAUAAUAAAAUCAGUGAAAAAUGUGAAUGGUUUAAUUAAAUUUACAUCUUAUGCUUGCCUUGCAGUGUCUUUCACUGGCCAAUGUAAAUGAUAUUCCAUUGUUGUACACCAGUGGUUCCAGUUAAUUAAUGGAGUAAGUUGCUUUACAUUUCAGUACUAUGAGAAUUUUAUAUGUCAUUUAUGUGCCUUACUUUAUAUUUGGUUUAUAAAAUUGUGCAUAUUUCCACUUCAGUGUUUAACUGGUGUACGUCUACUGAUAUUUCAACACUAAGAGAACUCAAAAUAUUAUGUUUGUGCCAAGUCUUCAUGUUUCAUAAUCAGUUCAUGAAACUGAGAUUUGAUUUUUUUACUGAAGAAUGUCAUUAUGUUUUAGUUAUAUGGGAAUUUGAAAUACUAUGUACAUUUCAUAUCUUUAUAUCUAUACAUAUGUAUAGUUUAUGAAACUGUAUAUCAAAGUCAGUAGCUAACUAGAUCUAUUUUGUUCAUUUCAGUAUUAUGAACAUUUCUGAAAAUUUCAUGUCAUGUUUUUUAAUUUUUUACCUAGUUUUUGGAACUGUGUAAGUUUAUUUCAAUAAGUUGAUAAUUUUCCUAAU